rnacentral:rRNA from 1 species
CCCUUAGAUGUCCUGGGCCGCACGCGUGCUACACUGACACUUACACCGAGUUUUUCCAAUGCCGAAAGGCCAUUGGUAAUCAGCAAUAAGUGUCGUGAUGGGGAUAGAUCUUUGGAAUUAUUGAUCUUGAACGAGGAAUGCCUAGUAAUCGUAGGUCAUCAGCCUGCGAUGAUUACGUCCCUGCCCUUUGUACACACCGCCCGUCGCUCCUACCGAUUUCGAGUGGUUCGGUGAAGCCUCCGGAUUGGCGCGCACCUCGGUGCCGCCGAGAAGUUGGCUAAACCUUACCAUUUAGAGGAAGGUGAAGUCGUAACA